UACGUAGGUGGCGAGCGUUGUCCGGAAUCAUUGGGCGUAAAGCGCGCGUAGGUGGCCACAUAAGUCCGUUGUGAAAGUCAAAGGCUCAACCUUUGAAAGCCGAUGGAUACUGUGUGGCUAGAGUACGGAAGAGGCGAGUGGAAUUCCUGGUGUAGCGGUGGAAUGCGCAGAUAUCAGGAGGAACACCAAUAGCGAAGGCAGCUCGCUGGGACGUUACUGACACUGAGGCGCGAAAGCGUGGGGAGCGAACAGG
rnacentral:rRNA from 1 species